CCUGGUGAAAUUAGCACUGUGGUCCCACCCGUUCCCAUCCCGAACACGGAAGUGAAACGCAGUCGCGCCGAUGGUAGUGUGGCUCAAGCCAUGCAAGAGUAGGUCAUCGCCAGGG
rfam:Pseudoxanthomonas dokdonensis strain DSM 21858 contig_14, whole genome shotgun sequence.